ACUAACCCUAAUUGCUCCAUCGAAUGUUUGCAGAUCGUCUCUCCUUUCUUCCGACGACGGCGCAUGACCUUCCUUUCCCAGACUGAAACUGAUGGAGUUGUAACUUCGUGUUUAUUCUAAUUAAUUCCAUCACCCACUAUGAAUUCUUCGUGUUUAUAAAUAAGGGUUUUCGAUUGUGUCAGACUCAUCAUAAUCCUUAUAAACCUCACCAGUCAUUGUUGCCUCAUCGAUUCUGACAUAUAUCUGACGGGAUGACGGAGCCACCAUGGUUACGUUCGAAGAUGACGGAGCCUCAGCCUCAGAACGAAGAGAUUCUUCUUGCCAUGGAAGAAGCUGAGUUCAAAGAAAAGCAGAAAGAAACUGAGAGUGAUCGAAGAAGAAGAUGGCGAUGGAAAUAGCAACACUGGCUCCUGCACCGAUCACAUCCCUGGAGAUAAACAUCAUCCUCUCACCGGGAAAGACGAAUACUCACAAGAAGAACAUGAUUCAAGUCUCCAACACGAAGAAACCAUUGUUCUUCUACGUUAAUCUCGCCAAGGUAUUGUUACUUUAAAAUCUCUUUGAUCGGAACGAAAAUUCCACACCGGAUCUAGGUUUUUGAGCAUCUGCUUCUUAUAUUUCGUUUGUGGAUGGCGAGAUUGGCUUUGUUGAUUUAGUUUUGAUUCAUGAACAAUCUCUAGCCUUUAUAUGUCCACCAAAGUGUUUGUUUGUAUUCCAAAUAGAGAGAUUUGAAAAAGUUUCUGGAUCAAUUUUGUGUGAUAUGCAUUGCGUUUGAUGCAGAGAGGUACAUUCAGCAACACAAUGAGGUCGAGCUCUCUGCACUCUGAAUGAAUAUAUACCACAUUUUCAUCAUAACUUAAAAUCUUAUCGAAAAAAACAUGGACUGGUCUCUCUCUUCUUUGUGUAUUUUUCUUUUAACUGUUUUAAUUUUCCCACAGCAAUAACGACCGUGGUAACAAUCUCUGAGAUCUUGAAGAACACUGGCUUGGCUACGCAGAAGAAAGUGUUGACAUCCACUGUGGGAAUGAAGGAUGAGACCAAAGGAAAGAUGGUUCAGAAAGCAAAGGCAAGUUUCACUACUUUAGCAUCUUCUACUUGAGAUUGUGUUGGGGAAAUCAGACAAGUUUGACUCUUUGGUGCCACCUGUGACCAAUGGCAAGACUCCUUAGGAAGUAGCUAAUGCAGAGACGUAGGCGGCUGCUGUUGAAUCACAAGAAGCCACCGACGCCUAGGGACUGAUAAGAAACACGAGAUCAGAAAGAUGAGUCAUAAGCUUACCCAUGAUUGGAAAACCCAUAGUUGAAACCAUCAAGAAGAAGACGAUAAUGAAGCAGAUGAUGAUCCAGACAAUGCAGAGGAAUCAGAUGAAGAAGAAUCCGAGCAAGAAACCAGUAAUAAUCCUCAUAACAAACAAAAAAGUUUUUUUUUAAUGCUAUUAGUUUUGAUUUGGAGAAUAUUUUUGUCUUCUAAAAACUCUUUAUGUGUCGAAACGAGUGUGAUUGUGAUUUUGGAAGAUGAGUUUACCUUUUGCUAUGAACAAGUUCAAACUUUAA